rnacentral:miRNA from 1 species
AGACGAAAUACCCACGGGCCU